AUAGGAUCUCCCUGAAUUGGAGCAACCCUCCAGCAGGCUGGGAGGGAGGGAUGAUCUGGGGAAUCUGGGGUCUGUAGGGUGUGAGUCACUAGGGCAGGUCUCGCUUUCCCUGGAAAUGACUGGCUGGACGGCUGGGCUCUUGCAGUGGAGAAGUGGAGUCUGAAAUGAAGGAAGACAUCCGGUGCCCCCUGGAUCCGGCUCACCACGAAGCUGCCUGCUCCUUGCUGGGGCUUCAGAAUGAAAUUUCAGAUUGAGAAAUAUUGUUCUAAUAUGGCAACAACGGGGCUGUUGUCUUUUCAAGCACUCUGCGAUUGCAGCCUCCUUCUGGCUCGUUUUAUGCAAAACGAAUGGCAGGCAGAAACAGGCUCAGAGCAGACAAGAGAGCUCGCCAAGUUUACACAGGCAGGAAGUGAUGGGUAUGAACUUGACACCAGAGCCUGCACUUCUAACCACCACACUGCAUUGCCCCUCUGUCUUAGUCUCCAAGAUGGAUAAGAUGCAAACUCGGCCGCCCAAGGGCACAGAGCCUCAGAAGCAAACAGAAGCUGCUGUUCAGGGCCACUUCCUCCAGGAAGCCCUCCCUGAAUUCUCCUGCCCUCCCUUCUCAGGACUCUUAACGGUGCUGGGUGUGCAGCCAACGUGGAAAUGCUUCCAUCAGCGCUAAGAAGAGUUCUAUAGGACCAUUCCCAUGCUCAUGUGGUAAGAGGCAGACCAGCGGAAGCCAGCUCUCCCCUGGAAUGCAGACCCACUAUGUGCUCAGCAGCCUUGCCCAAGCCCUGGCACUCUUCCCUAUGGAAUGAUGAGAGGAAAGGAGGUGAGACUGAACCUCUUCUUGUGGACCCUCACUUUGUAAAUUCCUCACCGCCACCCAAAUCCCUU